UACGGGGGGGCAAGCGUUGUUCGGAAUUACUGGGCGUAAAGGGCUCGUAGGCGGCCAACUAAGUCAGACGUGAAAUCCCUCAGCUUAACUGGGGAACUGCGUCUGAUACUGGAUGGCUUGAGAUUGGGAGAGGGAUGCGGAAUUCCAGGUGUAGCGGUGAAAUGCGUAGAUAUCUGGAGGAACACCGGUGGCGAAGGCGGCAUCCUGGACCAACACUGACGCUGAGGAGCGAAAGCCAGGGGAGCAAACGGG
rnacentral:rRNA from 1 species